GGAGACAAGCCAGGAAGCAUGCAUCUUGCUCCACAGCCGCAGCCUGGCGGCCUCCACCCUGUUCCCUCUGGGCCAGGAGGGAAAGAACCUCCCCACUGGGGACCCUUCCAGAGAAGGAGGGCAAAGGGGGGAGGGCAGUGGGGGGAGGGUGU